UCACAUCAGCUACUAUGGAUGCAGAAA
rnacentral:piRNA from 1 species